rnacentral:lncRNA from 1 species
AUCCAAGUUCAUUUUUAUUAUCUUUUAGCUAUUGUCUUUUUUUGUUUUUCUCUCAUUCUGAUUCCUUUAUUAUAAAAAAAUUUCAUUGCGAUUCAUCCUUACAUCAGAUUGAUAUCAAAGCUUUUAAUUUAAUCAAGAUGUACAAUCGUCAAAGUCAAUUCAUAUCUCAAUUAUAUUAACUUGAGAUAAGUUUUUAUAUGGUGAAA